AGCUCCAAUAGCGUAUAUUAAAGUUGCUGCAGUUAAAAAGCUCGUAGUUGGAUUUCUGGUGUGGCGCGUCCGACCCGCCGCGGUUACGCGUGUGAGUGUUAGAUGCUGCCUGCCAUAGUGUCAUGCACUGUCAGGUGCCCUUCACUGGGUGCUCGACAGCUGCUGACUCGGUUACUUUGAAAAAAUUAGAGUGUUUAAAGCGUGCGAUAUACAGCUCAUGAAUAGAUUAGCAUGGAAUAACAAUCUAGGACUUCGGUCCUAUGUUUGUUGGUGUUUGGGGAUCGAAGUAAUGAUGUAGAGGGAUAGUUGGGGGUGCUCAUAUUCAGAGGCCAGAGGUGAAAUUCUUGGAUUCUCUGAAGAUGAACUACUGCGAAAGCAUUCACCAAGGAUGUCUCUU
rnacentral:rRNA from 1 species